CCUACGGGGUGCAGCAGUGAGGAAUAUUGGUCAAUGGCCGGAAGGCUGAACCAGCCAAGCCGCGUGAAGGACGAAGGUGCCAAGCAUUGUACACUUCUUUUGUCAAGGGACAAAAUCAGGCUCGAGAGCCUGACCGAGGGUACUUGAAGAAAAAGCAUCGGCUAACUCCGUGCCAGCAGCCGCGGUAAUACGGAGGCUGCGAGCGUUAGCCGGAUUUAUUGGGUUUAAAGGGUGCGUAGGCGGGCUGUUAAGUCAGCGGUAAAAUCCCGGGGCUCAACCCCGGCGAGCCGUUGAAACUGGCUGUCUUGAGAUGUCGAGAGGUAUGCGGAAUGCGCAGUGUAGCGGUGAAAUGCUUAGAUAUUGCGCAGAACUCCGAUUGCGAAGGCAGCAUACCGGCGGCGAGCUGACGCUGAGGCACGAAAGCGUGGGUAUCGAACAGGAUUAGAUACCCUUGUAGUC
rnacentral:rRNA from 1 species